rnacentral:rRNA from 1 species
UCAGGAUGAACGCUAGCUACAGGCUUAACACAUGCAAGUCGAGGGGCAGCAUGACGAUAGCUUGCUAUUGUGAUGGCGACCGGCGCACGGGUGAGUAACGCGUAUCCAACCUUCCCUAUAGUAGAGGAUAGCCCGGCGAAAGUCGGAUUAAUACUCUAUGUUUUCCAAUGCAGACAUCUAAAAUGGAAUAAAGGUUUACCGCUAUAGGGAUGGGGAUGCGUCUGAUUAGAUGGUAGGCGGGGUAACGGCCCACCUAGUCGACGAUCAGUAGGGGUUCUGAGAGGAAGGUCCCCCACAUUGGAACUGAGACACGGUCCAAACUCCUACGGGAGGCAGCAGUGAGGAAUAUUGGUCAAUGGGCGAGAGCCUGAACCAGCCAAAGUAGCGUGCAGGAUGACGGCCCUAUGGGUUGUAAACUGCUUUUAGUACGGGGAUAAAGUGAGGGACGUGUCCCUUUUUGUAGGUACCGUAUGAAUAAGGACCGGCUAAUUCCGUGCCAGCCGCCGC